GACGAACGCUGGCGGCGUGCUUAACACAUGCAAGUCGAACGGAAAGGCCCUGCUUUUGUGGGGUGCUCGAGUGGCGAACGGGUGAGUAACACGUGAGUAACCUGCCCUUGACUUUGGGAUAACUUCAGGAAACUGGGGCUAAUACCGGAUAGGAGCUCCUGCUGCAUGGUGGGGGUUGGAAAGUUUCGGCGGUUGGGGAUGGACUCGCGGCUUAUCAGCUUGUUGGUGGGGUAGUGGCUGACCAAGGCUUUGACGGGUAGCCGGCCUGAGAGGGUGACCGGCCUCAUUGGGACUGAGAGACGGCCCAGACUCCUACGUGAGGCAGCAGUGGGGAAUAUUGCCCAAUGGGCGGAAGCCUGAUGCGGCAACGCCGCGUGCGUGAUGACGGCCUUCGGGUUGUAAACCGCUUUCGCCUGUGACGAAGCGUGAGUGACGGUAAUGGGUAAAGAAGCACCGGCUAACUACGUG
rnacentral:rRNA from 1 species